rnacentral:lncRNA from 1 species
AUAAGGUUCUCCAGUGUAUAUAUUAUCCACUUAUAUUUCUUCUUCUCAGUGCCCCUUCAAAAAAUCACCAAAAACCGAAGGUAAUAGGGUCCUUUUAUUUUGAUGUUUUGGGAUGAUUAAAGCACCUCCGUGUAAUCUAUGUCGACGAUUAGUGAUGAUUAUUGGACUAUGAAAUGCAAUCCUUACAUGGUUUGGAAGUGCUGAGUAAGUUGCCCUCUUGAUUCUUUUGCUUUCUGACUACCAAAUGUACAGGGUGCCGAAUCACCUACGUUCCGCCUAUCUCUGUGAAUGAUACUCCGAUUUAUCGAGUAUUCUCCUCUCGUAGAAGGAGUGCUUCGACAUAAAAAAACAUAACAGAUCAAAUCGCCGUUACUGUAAUGCCUUGGAACUUCUUCCUGCUCUCCAUCGUGUAAGGGAAGAACUGUCCAGGCUCAGCAUGGCAGAAGCAAAGUCCCAUUCUACAUUCGCAAUUACCCUGUGGAGUGCAAUCCGACACCGUAUCGCAUGGGAUGUUUACGUUUCUUCCUUCCACUCCCUCCAUUAUUGUGUUCUUCCCACCUGAAACGUUAACGGCCGAAAUCUUUUCAUCGGCGAUGAUUGAGAAGGAAACAAAUAGUUAUAAUCAACAGAUGCAUACACACCGGAGAUGAGGAUCAAGAGAAGGAGGAAGAAAGCCGAUCUGAAUGAAGGCUUCUUCUGAUGAUCCAUAUGGAUCGGGAGGAGGAUCGUGAGGAAUGAAUUGCUUCCGUAAUUGUUUUUGGUGGUACAGAUGGAUUCCUA